rnacentral:rRNA from 1 species
CCUACGGGAGGCAGCAGUGAGGAAUAUUGGUCAAUGGGCGCGAGCCUGAACCAGCCAAGUCGCGUGAGGGAAGACGGUCCUAUGGCUUGUAAACCUCUUUUGUCGGGGAGCAAAAGACGCCACGCGUGGCGCUCCGAGAGUACCCGAAGAAAAAGCAUCGGCUAACUCCGUGCCAGCAGCCGCGGUAAUACGGAGGAUGCGAGCGUUAGCCGGAUUUAGUGGGUUAAAAGGGUGCGCAGGCGGAAGAUCAAGUCAGCGGUAAAAUUGAGAGGCUCAACCGCUGAGAGCCGUUGAACCUGGUUUUCUUGAGUGAGUGAGAAGUAUGCGGAAUGCGUGGUGUAGCGGUGAAAUGCAUAGAUAUCACGCAGAACUCCGAUUGCGAAGGCAGCAUACCGGCGCUCAACUGACGCUCAUGCACGAAAGUGUGGGUAUCGAACAGGAUUAGAUACCCCAGUAGUC